CUGCAGAUCGCUACCCUCCUGCGUCGCCAUACUUACCUGACACAGCGAUUGGCGGUGCUCCGAUUUGGGGUGACUGUCUGACAAACCAAGCAGUCCCUCUGCAACCAAUCUGUCCCUCAAGGGCCAUGUGAUUAUGUUAUCAUGAUCAUGUGGACCCAAUAGCCUUUCAUGCAGCUUCCCUCAGGGGGACAGCCUGGGCUGUCAGGCAAACCCCCAACUGCUGAAAUAAGGAGAAAAUAAAUAAUUAUACAGUUAUAAAAAU